rnacentral:misc_RNA from 1 species
GAUGAAGAACGUAGCGAAAUGCGAUAAGUAAUGUGAAUUGCAGAACUCAGUGAAUCAUCGAAUCUUUGAACGCACAUUGCGCCCCUUGGUAUUCCGAGGGGCAUGCCUGUUCGAGCGUCAUUAUAACCCUCAAGCUCAGCUUGGUGUUGGGGCCUGCUGCACUGGCAGCCCUUAAAAUCAGUGGCGGCGCCAUCUGGCUCUAAGCGUAGUAAUUCUUCUCGCUAUGGAGUCCUGGUGGAUGCUUGCCAUCAACCCCCAAUUUUUCUAUGGUUGACCUCGGAUCAGGUAGGGAUACCCGCUGAACUUAAGCAUAUCAAUAAGCGGAGGA